AAAAAACUAUAUAAAAAAAAUAAAUAAAAAAAAAAUCAAACACUUCACUGUUUCCCUCUCCCUAUACGCUCCCUUCUCCCUUUCUCUGUCUCUCUCUCACUCUCUUCUGAAAUGUAUUUCCUAUGCACAAUUUUGAAACAAUUUCUCUCUAUUUGGUUGAAAAACUCAGAAAAAUGGCUUCUCCUCUUCAAGAACAAACCCAAGGGAGAAAUAACUAUGGCCGGCCAUUCCUGCCCCUGCCUGUUCCCUCCCGAUAUCCGACCACAGAAACCGCUGGCACACAAAUAUACAAUUUGUAAGGUGCAUCGUUACCAUCAGACCGUCAGAACUACCAUCGGUGUAUCUCUUGAACCUGUUUGGUUUCCUGUUAAUUGGAAAUGUUCAUAGUUUGCAUGAUAUUGCAUUCAUAAAUCCAACAUAUCAGAUGAGGCGCUUUAGAAAAAUUGGAGUCAUCACUAUAAUGGAUGGGCUAAUUCAUGAAAUGCGCCCACUUUAAAAGUUUUUAUUUUAUUUUUUAUUGAUGUAAGUUGCGUAAGCUUUUUGUUGUAAAAUUGGUAGUACCUUUAGCAUUUUCCAUAUGUUCUUACGUUUCAAUGCUUUGAUUGGGGAGUUUUGUUUUGUGUGCUAAUAUUUUGGAUGGGAAUGAUUAUACAUGGGGAAUUAUUACUAUAAAA